UUAUUAAAUUGUUCUUUAAGCAAACAAAACAUAACUAAAUUUAAUUGAUGUAGAAUUUACACAAAUUAGAAUUAUGCAACGAAAAUUGACAUAGAACUAAAAAGUGAUAUAUCAGUGUGCCAGCUAUCGCGGUUAUACACUAACUUAAUGUUUUUUUCUUAUCUUAUUUAUAUAUAAAUCACAUUAAUUUUUAAUAAAGUGAAAUUAAUUUAAAUUUUUGUAUAUAUAAAUAAAAAAUUUAUCAUUUCAAAAACUAGGAUUAGAUACCCUAUUAUUAUAAAUUUUAUAAAUUAAGGAGUUAAGUAAUAUAUAAACUUAAUUAAGAUGGCGGUAAAAAUUUUCCUUAGAGAAGGUUGUUCUAUAAUCGAUAACCCUCGUUUAUUUCCUUUUUUAAAUUUUGUAUAUCGCCGUUAAAAUUUAAUUUAAGAUUGAAUUAUAAAUUUUAAAAAUAAAUUAUCAGGUCAUGAUGCAAAUUAUACAAAGGUAAGAAAUGACCUGCAAAUUAUAUAUCUAAAUUUUGUUAUUUCUUAAAAAUAAACAAAAUAACAGGAUUUAAAAGUAAUUAGAUUAACUCAUAUUCUAAUGAAUCGAAUAUUUUUUAUGCACAUAUCGCCCGUCACCCUCAUAAAAGAGGAAAGUCGUAACAAAGUAAGUUUUCUGGAAAGAGAACUUAGAAAUUCUAGAAAAUAGUAUAUUUAGUACUUUUUAUUUACAAUAAAAAAGUAAUUUUUCUAAAUAAAAUAGAAUCAAUGUUAACACUUCCUUUUGUAUUAGGAUAUUCUAAGAAUCAGAAAAAGUUCUAAAAAAGAAAAUU
rnacentral:rRNA from 1 species